rnacentral:rRNA from 1 species
GACGAACGCUGGCGGCGUGCUUAACACAUGCAAGUCGAACGGAAAGGCCCUGCUUUUGUGGGGUGCUCGAGUGGCGAACGGGUGAUUAACACGUGAGUAACCUGCCCUUGACUUUGGGAUAACUUCAGGAAACUGGGGCUAAUACCGGAUAGGAGCUCCUGCUGCAUGGUGGGGGUUGGAAAGUUUCGGCGGUUGGGGAUGGACUCGCGGCUUAUCAGCUUGUUGGUGGGGUAGUGGCUUACCAAGGCUUUGACGGGUAGCCGGCCUGAGAGGGUGACCGGCCACAUUGGGACUGAGAUACGGCCCAGACUCCUACGGGAGGCAGCAGUGGGGAAUAUUGCACAAUGGGCGGAAGCCUGAUGCAGCAACGCCGCGUGCGGGAUGACGGCCUUCGGGUUGUAAACAGCUUUCGCCUGUGACGAAGCGUGAGUGACGGUAAUGGGUAAAGAAGCACCGGCUAACUACGUG